AUGAACGCUGGCGGCGUGCCUAAUACAUGCAAGUCGCGCGAACAGACGAGGAGCUUGCUCCUCUGACGUUAGCGGCGGACGGGUGAGUAACACGUGGAUAACCUACCUAUAAGACUGGGAUAACUUCGGGAAACCGGAGCUAAUACCGGAUAAUAUAUUGAACCGCAUGGUUCAAUAGUGAAAGACGGUUUUGCUGUCACUUAUAGAUGGAUCCGCGCCGCAUUAGCUAGUUGGUAAGGUAACGGCUUACCAAGGCAACGAUGCGUAGCCGACCUGAGAGGGUGAUCGGCCACACUGGAACUGAGACACGGUCCAGACUCCUACGGGAGGCAGCAGUAGGGAAUCUUCCGCAAUGGGCGAAAGCCUGACGGAGCAACGCCGCGUGAGUGAUGAAGGUCUUCGGAUCGUAAAACUCUGUUAUCAGGGAAGAACAAAUGUGUAAGUAACUAUGCACGUCUUGACGGUACCUAAUCAGAAAGCCACGGCUAACUACGUG
rnacentral:rRNA from 1 species